GAAACAUAGAGUCCUCUAGAGAGAGAGGGAGGGAUUCCAAUAAUUCAGGGAACUCUCCUCAAUGAGAAAGUAUGUUUAAGUUAAAUUUGUAAUGUUAGUUUUUCCAGGCAGAAGAAGCAGAGUGAAGAGAGGACAUUCCAAAUAAAAUGAAUGGUGAUCCACCCUACCACAUAUUGUCUCCUAAUGGCCGUCCAGUUUAUCCUGGAGCCCUUGCAUGACACAGGCCUAUCGAAGCAUAGGAGAUGCCAAUAUUUUACCUCUUGGGUACUUUCUGUGUAGAAGAUUCAUAACAAGAACAAUACUUAUUCUGCAAUUCUUUAUAUAAAGACUUAAUUCUGUGACCUGCGUUUGAUCCAGCCAUGUGGACUAUCACAAUCAAUAUUUUCCAGACUCUGCUCCAGACAAUGAGUAUAGCAUCUCCAUCAUCCCUCGAACUACCACU
rnacentral:lncRNA from 1 species